UGGCCAGCUCAGCAGGAGCUGGAUGGUUUAGCAUGGUCUAGAAUGGCUUCAUUUACAUUUUUGGGCUUCAGCUGGGAUGCCUGAACAGUGUCUCUGUGUAUUAUCUCCUCUUCCAGUAGGCUUGCCCAGGCUUCUUCAUAUGGUGGCCUUAAGAUUCUCAGCAACAAAGAAGGGGCAAGCCCCAGUACAUAAACACUUUUUUUUUUUUUUUUGAGAUGGAGUCUUUUCCUGUGCUGUUCUUGUGAUAGUGGGUGGGUCUCAUGAGAUCUGAUGGUUCUAUAAGAGAAAAUUUCCCUGCACAAGCUCUCUCACUUUGCCUGCUGCCAUCCGUGUAAGACAUGACUUGCUCCUCCUUGCCCUCUCAAAAGGCCCAGAGAAAGUCUAAGGAAGGAGAAACAUGAUCAUG
rnacentral:lncRNA from 1 species